CAUAACUUCAGUUCUGUUGGUUACAAAUUUAGUCAGCUUAAAUAAUUCGAUAAUUACUGUAAUUGUACAAGGCGCUGUGUAAGAAAUGGCCUGCAUAUUAAACUUAUCAUCACUUAUAAAAAAUUAUUUAAUUUAUACUAUCAAAAAUAUAUAAUAGUAAUAUAGUAUAUUUUACAUAUUUUUCACAAAUGAAAGCUUUUAUCACAAGAUAUAUACCAAGGAUCGGUACUACUUUAUAACCUAACUAUCUUCGGUUUGAUUUAUUCAAAUAAUCACUAAAAUUUUUUCAAGAAAAAUUUGGCCAGAGCUUCCAUUUACUGUACAAGUGCAACAUGCGCCGUUCGUUUACUCAAGUGCGAAGAGAUAAAAGUACAAACCUCCUGAAGUUUACACAUUAAGUUCAUGUUCUAAUAUUUAAUUUAUCGUCUGGAUUAAUUGUCCAUCCACUUGGGUGAACGUAGAAUCAAUUAUUCAUCAAUUAUUUAUCAAUACUUGCAUUUGAAAGAAAUAAAAGCAAUUAACAUCGACAUGUGGGCAUGUAUUUUGUCAUGAUUUUAA